rnacentral:rRNA from 1 species
AGAACGAACGCUGGCGGCGUGGAUAAGACAUGCAAGUCGAACGCGAUUUAUCAGAUUAGCAAUAAUUUGGUGAAUUGAGUGGCGAAAGGGUGCGUAACACGUGGGAAUUUACCAAGAAGUGGGGAAUAGCUCGACGAAAGUCGAAUUAAUACCGCAUACGAUCGAAAGAUCAAAGCCGGGGACCGCAAGGCCUGGCGCUUUUUGAGAAGCCCGCGGCCCAUCAGCUAGUUGGCGGGGUAACGGCCCACCAAGGCUAUGACGGGUAGCUGGUCUGAGAGGACGACCAGCCACACUGGAACUGAGACACGGUCCAGACACCUACGGGUGGCAGCAGUCGAGAAUUUUUCACAAUGGACGAAAGUCUGAUGGAGCGACGCCGCGUGGAGGAUGAAGGUUUCGGAUUGUAAACUCCUGUCACUGCAGAACAAGGAUACGUCAGUUAACAGCCGACGUAUUUGAUGGUAUGCGGAGAGGAAGGGACGGCUAACGUCUGUGCCAGCA